rnacentral:rRNA from 1 species
ACCCGUAGGGGGCGAGCGUUGUCCGGAAUGAUUGGGCGUAAAGGGCGCGUAGGCGGCGCGGCAAGUCUGGAGUGAAAGUCCUGCUUUCAAUGUGGGAAUUGCUUUGGAUACCGCAGUGCUAGAGUGCGGAAGAGGUAAGUGGAAUUCCCAGUGUAGCGGUGAAAUGCGUAGAGAUUGGGAGGAACACCAGUGGCGAAGGCGUCUUACUGGGCCGUAACUGACGCUGAGGCGCGAAAGCGUGGGGAGCGAACAGGAUUAGAUACCCUGGUAGUCCACGCGGUAAACGAUGAAUGCUAGGUGUUGCGGGUAUCGACCCCUGCAGUGCCGGAGUAAACACAAUAAGCAUUCCGCCUGGGGAGUACGGCCGCAAGGUUGAAACUCAAAGGAAUUGGCGGGG